AAAACAACUACGUAGGGGGCAAGCGUUGUCCGGAAUUAUUGGGCGUAAAGGGCGCGUAGGCGGAUUUUUAAGUCUGGUGUGAAAGAUCAGGGCUCAACCCUGAGAGUGCAUCGGAAACUGGGGAUCUUGAGGACAGGAGAGGAAAGUGGAAUUCCACGUGUAGCGGUGAAAUGCGUAGAUAUGUGGAGGAACACCAGUGGCGAAGGCGGCCACCUGGCUCGUUAUUGACGCUGAGGCACGAAAGCGUGGGGAGCAAACAGG
rnacentral:rRNA from 1 species